GUGUUUCUAUGCCUCCCCUUCCCUAAGUUUCUUUUGCUUGGCAUUUGAUGGGUUGACACAGAAGAGGCACUGUGUGAAGCUCAUCUUAAAUGCCAGGGAACUUGGGAGAAUCUCAGGAUACAGAGGGAGUGAAAGAGAUCUGUUUGCUGGUUGUCCACCUAUAGCAAACGAAGCAUCAGUCAUCAUCCCUUGUGAUACGUGAGGCUGCUGGCCUUUAAUUCAACAGACUUCCAGUCUUAGGAGAAGUAGAGCGUCUGACUCAGGGAAGGGCAGGGGCUGAGAGACAAGCCUUGUAAUUAAACUAAGAUGUUGGAGUAUUUCUGUGUGUGCCCUUAGUCUUAAAACACAGUGUACUUUUGGACAUAUAUCUAG
ensembl:lncRNA